CUGUGUCCUGUAUGUCACACUGUGUCCUGUAUGUCACGCUGUGUCCUGUAUGUCACACGUGUCCUACAAGUGCCCGUUCAGCAGGGAAUUCCUUCUGGGGAGUUCUAUGGAGGAGGCUCUGCCAGAGCAGGGCCCAAACUCACAGCUGUGGGCUCAGGAGAGCAGAAAGUGGCUGCAAGGCCACUGCCCAAGGCUGGACAGUGGGUGUUCCCCAUCUCCAGGCAAGAAGGGAGCUGGGAAGGACCCCCAUCCCCCAAAAAUGCAGCACUCAGUGGGAACCACGAGAGCUGUGUCCCAAACUGUGCAGCCCCGGGCACUCACUAGUGGAAGGUGCCUGUGAGCAAGGAAGGUUCCCGUGGGGCCAGGAAGGUGCAGUGCUGUGCUCAGAGCUGGGCCUUCCUCCUCCUGUUUGCAGCAUGGAACCGCUGGGCAUGGCCACCAGCCUCCAGAGGACUGUUGUACAGCAUGAGACCAGCACACAACAUGACAACAUGGCACAACAUUUGACCACUGCACUACGUGGGACCAUUGCACAGCAUGAGACUAUUGUACCACCUGGGAUCACUGCACUACAUGCGACCGUUGCACAUCCUGAGACCACUGCCCUAAGUGAGAGCACUGCACAGCCUGAGACCACUGCACCACGUGACACCGUUGCACGAAGUGGGACCAUUGUGCAACCUGGGACUGCUGCACAACACGACACCAUUGCACAGCAUGGGACCACUGCACAGCCUGAGAACAUUGCAUGAGGUGAGGCCAUUGCACAGCAUGACACCUUUCUCCCGGGGGUCCCACACAGCAGUAGCACUGCGGGGCUGAGCUGAACCGAGCGCAGAGAACAGCCCACAGAUAUUGGCUCCCCCAUCUCAAGGGCCACAGUGCUGAGGCUGCCCUGCAGCAGGGCGCCCGGGUGGGCUCUCGAGCCCACUUUCUGCAGCAGGAUGCUUUGUCCAUCGGCGCAAGGAGCUCCCAGCAGCGCUGUGCUGAGUCACGGUUGUGUGUGGUUGCCAUGGGGCGAUAACACGGCUGGUGCAAACAGCACGGGCAGGGCAGUGAUAAGGCCCUUGGCUCACUUUUGUGCUGCGUCAGAGUUCUGAGGCAGCAGAAAAUACUUCUGCUGAGGCAGUGCGGCAGCCAACCGAAAAAUAUUUAGUGCUUUUUAUGUAUUUAUGUGCAUUUUCCAGCAGAGCCAGGGGAGCACACGGCCCCCCGUUACUCAGCAAGGGCUGGGCACCUGUCCUGCAGCUGUGGGACUUCCCAGCUGCCCUCCAUCCCAGGGCAGUGGCCAGUGACCGUAAUCCCAAAGGGACAGUGGGACACGUCCUGAGGGCCAACCCCUCUUCUCCAGGGAGGUGGGGGAGUCGGCGGGGAUGGAGGUGUUUAAGAGCUGUGGAGAUGUGGCACUGAGGGACGUGACUCACCUCGGCAUCUUUACUGAGCAGAUUUCCCAACGGAUCCUUCCCCGGAAUAAAUCACAUCACUCCUACAAAAGGAAGAAACAGGGAGGAACCACAUAGCAGAAUUUUAGCUGAAGCAGCCCAGUGCCAUCCCAUGAACAUCAGAGCCCUAUCAGUGGGUUUGCCUCAAGGCCAGGAGAAGCAGCUGAGACAGAGUCCUGGCAGAGCUAUUCAGGUUGGCACCAGGCGAUGACUUUGCCCCUGCGAUCACAGAUAGACCCUCAGCUCCGAAAUGCAGCCAUGGAGUCACUUCUGCAGCUCUCUGGUGGUCCAAGUACAAAUCUAUUUGGUUCUCACUUCUCAUUCAGUGGGGCUCGCUGUGCUGGGACCAGCAAGCAGAUGUUGGCCAUAAGGAUGUGAGCAGAGGGAGGAGCAUCUUUUCCCAGAUCAGAGACAGUCUGAUUAUUGAACGCCCAUCCCUGGAGGCAUUCAAGGCCAGGCUGGAUGUGGCUCUGGGCAGCCUGGGCUGCUGGUUGGCAACCCUGCACAUAGCAGGGGGUUGGAUCUGGAUGAGCAUUGUGGUCCUUUCCAACCCAGGCCAUUCCGUGGUUCUAUGAUGAUUCUAUGAUUAUUGGGAUGUCAAAAUCUAAGAUAGCAUGAGUAGGGGAGACACAGAUGUUCAAGGCUUUGUAGUGCUCCUCUUCAGAUGCAAACACUAUGCCAAAAGUGUUCCUGUCUCGUAGAGGUCACAUCGACGUGACCGGGUCACACUGGUGACAUCCCAGUGCACACAGGAAAGAGUUUGAUAGAAUAUUGACCCACUGAUACUGCAGCCUCUUCAGGAGGAAGGAGCACCACAAGUAGCUCUAUGGUGGCCAGCCUCAUGCCAGUCCUGGUGGCCAUGGAGCUUGUCACGAUGGAUGUACGCCGCAUGGGCUGUGCGUGUGAUAGCACACAAAAUUUGGAGAAGGAGUGGAAGGAACGCAUCUAUCUGAGGCACUGCACCAAGGGGAUGAAUCCCAGGCUCUGGCCCUACAGCCUGGGGCUGCACCGGGAUGACUCCCUGCAGGAUGCAGACUGGACCCAGAGCACAGAUGCGAUCCCAUCGGUGCCACCCUGAGGAGCCACGCCAGCUGCAGCACAGCCUUCACCACAGCGUCUGCUGGUGGAACAUCAGCUGCAGCCCACAGGGAGCCCAGGGGCUGCUCCGCCUGCCUGAGCCACAGCCUUCAUCUGAAAUAAAAGCACCACUUAAAAUGUAAUUUAAAACAAAAGCAGUGGGACGAAUCUGGUCAGGCCUAAGGCCAUCUAUGGCAACAGCACACUGUGUCCCAGAGCAGUUUUUAUUUGUGCUAAUUGCCAUUAUAAUAACGACUGCUGUGGCUCAGCUGUAUAUUUGAGCUCUGUGGGAUCUACGUUCCGGGCAACGUUGUAUUUCACGAUCCAUGAAUCAUUCUGAUUGCAAUAAGGCUGUCAGCCCACAACCAUCCCAAUUUAUGAUCCUAUCUCAGCUGUCCCAAGAAGCUCUGAUG
ensembl:lncRNA